GUUCCAUUGGCUUAGUGGUUAGAGCGUCUGCCUCGUAUGCGGGAGGUCGCAAGUUUGAACCCCGGCCGCGUAAUACAUGGACUU